rnacentral:rRNA from 1 species
GACAGAGGGGGCAAGCGUUGCUCGGAAUCACUGGGCGUAAAGGGCGCGUAGGCGGGCGGAUAAGUCGGUCGUGAAAUCUCCGGGCUCAACCCGGAGGGGACGGCCGAGACUGUACAUCUUGAGGGGAGCAGAGGAGUCUGGAAUUCCCGGUGUAGCGGUGAAAUGUGUAGAGAUCGGGAGGAACACCGGUGGCGAAGGCGGGGCUCUGGGCUCGACCUGACGCUGAGGCGCGAAAGCGUGGGGAGCAAACGGG